CCUACGGGAGGCAGCAGUAGGGAAUAUUGGACAAUGGUUGCAAGACUGAUCCAGCCAUGCCGCGUGCAGGAAGAAGGCUUUCUGAGUUGUAAACUGCUUUUGCCAGGGGAUAAAAAGCCCGUGCGCGGGAAAUUGAAGGUACCUGGUGAAUAAGCCACGGCUAACUACGUGCCAGCAGCCGCGGUAAUACGUAGGUGGCAAGCGUUGUCCGGAUUUAUUGGGUUUAAAGGGUGCGUAGGCGGUGUCCUAAGUCAGUUGUGAAAUACGGCAGCUUAACUGUCGAGGUGCAAUUGAUACUGGGACACUUGAGUACUGAUGAGGUAAGCGGAAUGGACGGUGUAGCGGUGAAAUGCUUAGAUAUCGUCCAGAACACCGAUAGCGAAGGCAGCUUACUAAGGAGUAACUGACGCUGAGGCACGAAAGUGUGGGGAUCAAACAGG
rnacentral:rRNA from 1 species